AUUGCACAUCAGCUGUAAGGGGUUGUAGCACAUUCCCAAGGGCUAAUUCUCUGGAUUUGUCUAUAGGAUCCAGUGGACAUAAAGAGCAGCGCAGAGCCUGAGCCAGAGCCGGAGCCGGAGGCAGCAGCUCUCGAACCCAGUCCUGUGGAAGCCGCAGAAGAAAACAACCCGUCAGAGGAGGUCAAAGCAACAGAAAAGACAGUUAUGAACUUUUUCAAAACAUUUGUCACUCCGACCAAAACAAGCAAAGAAGCCAAAGCCACUCCAGAUGCUUCAAAAGAGCAGCCACAGAAAGAGACCCCAUCAGCACCAUCAACAAAUGUACAGGAAGCACCCAAGGCACCUCCUCCUCCUCCCCCAGCACCACCUAAGAUGGAAAGCAAAGCAGAGCCGGUGGUGAAGAAAGAGGAAACGUCUUCAACAAAAGCAGUAGCAGCAGCUGCAACAAAAGCAGAGGGAUCUGCCAAGAGCAAAACCAAAGACAGUGCAUUAAGCAAACUCUUCCGUUCAAAGCCUGUUGUGGUGGAAGAGAAAAAGCCGGUUGAGGUGCAGGUCGAUGCGUCUAAGACCAGCACUCUUGAGGCCGCUGCCAAACCUGAAGAACCUCCGGCGCCAAAACCAGAGGAGAAGAAACUAGAAAAGAAAUCCACUUUUGGAAACAUGUUCAAACCCAAGGUUCUGCUCGGCAAGGUGAGCAGCAGGAUCCAGGCCGCGGCGUCCAGCGCUGCCGCCAGCAUCUCCCACAUGUCUGCUGCAGCGGCACCAGAGCCCAAGAAGGACACUCCAGCUGCUCCUCCCGUGGCAGAAGCCGCUCCACCCGCAAAGGCCAAAGAGGAGCCGAGACCCACCACUCCUGCACAGCAAGCGGUCCCGGACAACAAAUCAGCCGACAGCACAGGGAACGCCUCCCCCAACAUGCCCCACAAGCUGGAGAAGAGGAACUCCCUCCAGCUGUUCUUCAAAAACCUGGUUAAGUAGAAACCCAGAGAUUCUCCAGGGCUAGGUAUUCCACCCACACAACUGUGGGAGCAUUCGCAAGCUGUGUAGUUUAACUCUUCAGUUGUAUGUAGUUUGCCAGUUAAAUGCUGUCGAGAAACGUUUUCUGAUGUCUAACCAUCCUGAUUAUUUCGAUAUUGCUGGCUAUUAAUCUUAAAACAGUGAUCUUUGAGGUGAGGAAUUAAAAAUACAAAAAUCAAGAUUUACAGUGUAUGACCACUAGAGGGACUCAAUUAUCAACCUAUCUAGAUUAUUCGAUCAGUUCCAUAGCAGCUUAUUUGUGUUGCGUUUUAAUAAACUGUAAUAAAUAUUUUAAAUUAUUUAAUUAAACUGGGCACUAAAAUUUAGCAUGUAAUUUUUUUUUAUUGCAUGAAAUCUCAAUCUCAUCAUCUAAUAUGUAAUUCUAAUCUUUGUUACGAUAUAUAUAACUUCUUCAUAAAUAAAAAAUACUUUUUGUCAUGUAAUAUAAUUGUAUCUAUCCACAAUUAUGGUUAUUUCAAGCGGGAUCAUCCCUGAUAAUGUAUCUCGGACAAAAGGUUGAUGACAACUAAAUGAUCUCAGAUAAUAAAGCACACAAAUUCACCAAAGCUGCGCUUUAAAGACGUGUUGGAGCAAGAUCCGCUUUUGCAAAUAAAGACCCAGUUGUCAAACGGGUUUUGCUUCAGGCACCAUUACAGACGAGCAGUAAAACCACACACUUUCUUGCUAAGUUAGGAUCACUAAUGUUGCAUUAUGCGUUGGUGUGUCUCACAGGGCCAAAAACGCCAUUCUGAUGCCGGAGUGCAAACGGACCCUGUGGCACCCGAGAAGGCCAAAUAAAACCCCGCCUUUGUUUUGAUCGCUCAUCUGUGCCAAAACCAUUGGCAGCCAUGCACAUAAGAACAUAUUUACCAAAGUUGGGAGGUAUUAUGCUGACUUGCAAGGCCCAAGUUUGAAGUAACUAUCAAAUAAUAAUCUGAAUUCCCAUGCAUUUAAUGAGAGCAGAAGUAAGUGUAACGAUUUCCCUGUUAAGCAAGUGCUACAUGUGUUUAUGACCGGAGGGAGGAACUCGUGUUGUUUUUCAGAGAGAAACGUGUCAGAGUUGCGUGGUGUGGCAUGAGAUGGAAAAGUGAAAGUGAAAAUGUAAUCCUGCAUUGAAGAUAAACUCCCUUUUUUAUGUGCAUGUUAAAAUGUAAAAUAUGUUAACUAUACUAACACUACUUAUAUUGCAUCACACAUUAAAGCCGAUGCAUUAAGAUGCCUUUUCACCGGGACAAAGAUAACAUCAUGCGCGUUUGCAUGUGAAAAGAAUUUAUUUAUGUAAUCAUACACUGUCAUCUGAUUAUGAAUACAAUGACCCAUCGUCUGCUGAAUUCAAUCACUGAAACCUACAAAGCCAAUUUGAAUUCCACUUAAAGUGCAAAACUUCUGAAUCACUUUAAUAAAUCCAUAGAAAUCACAAUUAUUUAUUUAACAUAAUGUCAAUCAAAUUGAGCACCAUAUAUUAUUACUCCAAAUUAUUCGGUUAUUUAAGUUCAGCCCAGUUUCUAUUUAAAAAAUAAUAAUUGUUUUCAUUUCUACAAUUGUUUAUUAAUCAUAACUUACUAACUAAACCACAUUACAAUUAUUGUCUUUUUAUUUGCUUGGCCGUCCAUUUCUGACCGGAGGAGACUAAAAAGAAAUUAAGCUAGUUAAAUGUUUUAUUUUCUUUCUUAUUUUCCGAACAUAUCAGUUGUUAUUAGAACAGUAUGAAAUAAAUAUGUGGUAUACAGUUAUGCAAUAUACAAUGUACAUUCAAUUUAGCUGCAGUCACAUGUGUUUUAUGAUUUUCUUCCUAAUUAUCGCUACAUUUGUAAAGAGUAGAUGGGCCUAAUUAAGAAUUCAGACUGUAUCCAUGAAUCUUAGACUUUCUGUAACUCCUUUGUUGCAUUUUUGUCUAUUUAACCAAUUUAUAAAAAUAAAAGAAUCAUUUCUCUCCUC
ensembl:lncRNA